GUCGUAGCACUUGCUGAAAGCACUCGGCUUUCUGUUUCAUCUGGGAUGAUGUGCUCUCUCCUCUCUCCGUGAAGACAUUCCUGACGGCCGAGUGGCGGCAUAUCUCAGCGAAUACUGGUCUCCUUCACCUCCCAGCCUGACCUGCGUGUGUCCUCCCAGAUCAACAGUCAAUUACAGUCUCUCUCGAGCGCUCGCUCUCUCACUUUUUCCCUCAGAGAAGAAAGGAAGGUUUUGGGCCGGCCGUGGUGCCACUGCCUGGCUAAUUAGAACCAGGAAGGGACUCAGUCUGAAACCUGGGCGUAAACUUUUACGAGCACCCCUGGGGUCACCAGUAAACCCGUUAAUAGAGAUGAGAUAUGAGGGCUCCCAAUGGCCUCCCAUUUUGUUUCUUUUUCAGUUUUUUUGUGUGUUUUUUUGUAUUCUUAAGUAGGAUCAAGUGCUCGUCCAGCUCAGGGUUUCUUAGAGGAGCAGCACCAAACAAAAGCAACUUAAGUUUAACUCGGUCAUGGUAAAAGAGACUGUUAUUUUACUGAGGCAUUUAAAGUAUUUAAUUUUGAUCAAAUAAAUGUGACUUAUUCA